AAGUCGAACGAGACCUUCGGGUCUAGUGGCGCACGGGUGCGUAACGCGUGGGAAUCUGCCCUUUGCUUCGGAAUAACAGUUAGAAAUGACUGCUAAUACCGGAUGAUGUCUUCGGACCAAAGAUUUAUCGGCAAAGGAUGAGCCCGCGUAGGAUUAGGUAGUUGGUGGGGUAAAGGCCUACCAAGCCGACGAUCCUUAGCUGGUCUGAGAGGAUGAUCAGCCACACUGGGACUGAGACACGGCCCAGACUCCUACGGGAGGCAGCAGUGGGGAAUAUUGGACAAUGGGCGAAAGCCUGAUCCAGCAAUGCCGCGUGAGUGAUGAAGGCCUUCGGGUCGUAAAGCUCUUUUACCAGGGAUGAUAAUGACAGUACCUGGAGAAUAAGCUCCGGCUAACUCCGUGCCAGCAGCCGCGGUAAUACGGAGGGAGCUAGCGUUGUUCGGAAUUACUGGGCGUAAAGAGUACGUAGGCGGCUAUUCAAGUCAGAGGUGAAAGCCCGGGGCUCAACCCCGGAACUGCCUUUGAAACUAGGUAGCUAGAAUCUUGGAGAGGUCAGUGGAAUUCCGAGUGUAGAGGUGAAAUUCGUAGAUAUUCGGAAGAACACCAGUGGCGAAGGCGACUGACUGGACAA
rnacentral:rRNA from 1 species